AACGAACGCUGGCGGCAGGCCUAACACAUGCAAGUCGAGCGAGGACUUCGGUUCUAGCGGCGGACGGGUGAGUAACGCGUGGGAAUGUGCCCUUCUCUACGGAAUAGCCCUGGGAAACUGGGAGUAAUACCGUAUACGCCCUAUUGGGGAAAGAUUUAUCGGAGAAGGAUCAGCCCGCGUUGGAUUAGGUAGUUGGUGGGGUAAUGGCCAACCAAGCCGACGAUCCAUAGCUGGUUUGAGAGGAUGAUCAGCCACACUGGGGCUGAGACACGGCCCAGACUCCUACGGGAGGCAGCAGUGGGGAAUCUUAGACAAUGGGGGCAACCCUGAUCUAGCCAUGCCGCGUGAGUGAUGAAGGCCUUAGGGUUGUAAAGCUCUUUCAGCUGGGAAGAUAAUGACGGUACCAGCAGAAGAAGCCCCGGCUAACUCCGUG
rnacentral:rRNA from 1 species